rnacentral:rRNA from 1 species
AUUGAACGCUGGCGGCAGGCCUAACACAUGCAAGUCGAGCGGAUGAAGGGAGCUUGCUCCUGGAUUCAGCGUCGGACGGGUGAGUAAUGCCUAGGAAUCUGCCUGGUAGUGGGGGAUAACGUCCGGAAACGGGCGCUAAUACCGCAUACGUCCUGAGGGAGCAAGUGGGGGAUCUUCGGACCUCACGCUAUCAGAUGAGCCUAGGUCGGAUUAGCUAGUUGGUGGGGUAAAGGCCUACCAAGGCGACGAUCCGUAACUGGUCUGAGAGGAUGAUCAGUCACACUGGAGCUGAGACACGGUCCAGACUCCUACGGGAGGCAGCAGUGGGGAAUAUUGGACAAUGGGCGAAAGCCUGAUCCAGCCAUGCCGCGUGUGUGAAGAAGGUCUUCGGAUUGUAAAGCACUUUAAGUUGGGAGGAAGGGCAGUAAGUUAAUACCUUGCUGUUUUGACGUUACCAACAGAAUAAGCACCGGCUAACUUCGUG